UUGGCUUUUGGAAAGAAGAGCUUUUCUUCUCUUAGAAACUGAUUUUUUUUUAAGCAUCAGCUGGACUGAUUGUUUCUUAUUCUGAAGUCAAUGUAUUAUAGUCCAUUCCAGUCAUGAUUCAUUUUGGUGUUGAAAUUGUCCAAAAUUUGCCCAGUAGAAUCCCCUUCAAGGUAGCUCCUGUCUUUUUAAACUAUUUUGUUUGGAAAUAUUUCAAACUUAUAAAAAAUUGCAAGGAUAAUAAUACAAAGGGCCACUCAUAUAUCCUUUUUCCAGAUUACCUACUGUUAACACUUUAUGCUAUUUGCAUCAUCAUUUGCAUGCUCUUUCUAUACAUACACAGUAUUUAUUUUUUUCCGAACCAUUUAAGACUAAGUUGUAUACAUCACCACCCUUUACCCUUAAGUAUUACAGUGUAUAUUUCCUAAUAGGGAUAUAUUUUGUUACAUAACCAAAGUAUAUUGUUAACUUGAGUAAAUUUAACAUUGAUUUAGUAUUUAUGUCUAAUCUGCCCUCCAUAUUCUAGUUUUGUUAGUUGAUCUAAUGUUCUUUUUAGUAAUUCCUUUCUAGAACAGAAUCCAGUCUAGGAUUGGGUAUUGGCUUUAGGUACCAAGUCUUUCUAAACUUUUCUGGGAUAUUUACACAGCUCGUAUUUUUUAUGACAUUGACAUUUUUGAAGAAAAGUCUGCUUCCCCUGCCCUGCCCUUCAAAACAUGCUUCUCACUUGGGGCAGUUUCUGGUGUGUCCUGCUGGUUGGAUGCAGGGUAUGCAUUUCAGGCUAGGGACAGUAAGUGAUGUGCUUUUCUCCGGGCCUCAUAUCUGGAGGCACUGAUGUCUAUCAGCCCUCAGUGGUAAUUCUGAUUUUGAUUUGAUAAGCAAAAAGAAAUUGUAUCCCCCUAGAUUUAGUGUCCAUCCAUUGAUGGUGCUUGCUAGAACCAGUCUUUAGUAUGAUGGUUAUAAGAACUGUCUUCUAAUUCCAGCAUUCCUUCUGCAUUUAAGCAAUUGGCAGUCAGCAUUCUGCAGCAUCCUUUGCCCCAUUUACUUAUCAUUGGUAUGAAUUCAUUAAUUUCUGUUUUUCUCCAGUGGCUUUGGUUCAUUUCUGUCCUUACUUUGUUGCUCAAAUGGUCUGAUUUGGCCUAGUGACUAGCUUUUGUAUCUUUUGACAUGUCAUUUCCUUACUUUUUUUAUUUACUUAUUUACUUUUGAGACCUAGUAUUGCUCUGUCACCCAGGUUGGAGUGCAGUGGCGCAACCUCAGCUCACUGCAACCUUCACCUCCCGGGUUCAUGCGAUUCUCCUGUCUCAGCCUCCCAAGUAGCUGAGAUUACAGGCAUAUGCCACCAUGUCCAGCUAAUUUUUGUGUUUUCAGUAGAGAUGGGGUUUCACCAUAUUGGCCAAGCUGGUCUCGAACUCCUGACCUCAGGUGAUCCACCUGCCUCGGCCUCCCAAAGUGCUAGAAUUAUAGGCGUGAGCCACCAUGCCCAGCCUUAUGUCAUCAUUUCUUGAGCACUCCUUUCUGCUUUCUAGCACAACACAUGUAUCUGUAUUUCUAUGUCUCUGUCUAUAAAUAUAUGUAAACCUUGAGUUUACACUGAUACAUCCAGUUUUAAAAUUUCAUGGUUCAUUUUAGUUUUACUUAUACUGGCUUUUUGGAUGAUGAGAAACCUGGUGGCUCCCAUGAUCCUUAAUAUAGUGACUUGAUCAAAGCCCUAUGUGUGACUAAUUCCCAUUACUGUUGCUGCCUCCUCUUCUGGAGGGAGCCCUUUUUCUUGGGCUCUCUCACCCUCCUAUGGAUGCUUGCUUGCUCCAUAGGACUGGAUUGUUCAGAAAGGGAAAGAAGGGU
rnacentral:lncRNA from 1 species